UACGUAGGGGGCAAGCGUUGUCCGGAUUUAUUGGGCGUAAAGAGCGUGUAGGCGGCCAAGCAGGUCAGCUGUGAAAACUCGAGGCUCAACCUCGAGACGUCGGUUGAAACCGCUUGGCUAGAGUCCGGAAGAGGAGAGUGGAAUUCCCGGUGUAGCGGUGAAAUGCGCAGAUAUCCGGAGGAACACCGGUGGCGAAGGCGGCUUCCUGGACCGACACUGACGCUGAGGCGCGAAAGCUAGGGGAGCAAACGGG
rnacentral:rRNA from 1 species